CCUACGGGUGGCAGCAGUGAGGAAUAUUGGUCAAUGGGCGCGAGCCUGAACCAGCCAAGUCGCGUGAGGGAAGACGGUCCUAUGGAUUGUAAACCUCUUUUGUCGGGGAGCAAAAGACGCCACGCGUGGCGUUCCGAGAGUACCCGAAGAAAAAGCAUCGGCUAACUCCGUGCCAGCAGCCGCGGUAAUACGGAGGAUGCGAGCGUUAUCCGGAUUUAUUGGGUUUAAAGGGUGCGUAGGCGGGUUAUCAAGUCAGCGGUAAAAUCGUGGAGCUCAACUCCAUCCAGCCGUUGAAACUGAUGAUCUUGAGUGGGCGAGAAGUAUGCGGAAUGCGUGGUGUAGCGGUGAAAUGCAUAGAUAUCACGCAGAACUCCGAUUGCGAAGGCAGCAUACCGGCGCCCGACUGACGCUGAAGCACGAAAGCGUGGGUAUCGAACAGGAUUAGAUACCCCAGUAGUC
rnacentral:rRNA from 1 species